rnacentral:misc_RNA from 1 species
AGAAAAUGGUCACUACUUUGUUCUAGACGAUAAGAGAUCAUAGUGCAUAAAAUAUGGGCAGGGAUCUCGCAUGUAUCAGCGAUAUGAAAUUAUUGUUUAAGAAUAAUCAUGUUGCCAAUAUCUUGUCAACCACCGUAAAUAUCCCUUUAACAGCAUGAACAUUUGUAUUACAUAUAGUUUAUAUAAAAAUCACACAGAGUUAUUCGAUCAGACUUAGAUGUUAAAGUUCAAAAUGUAUUUGUGUAAAAUACUACAUGUAAGUCAUUCAAAACAACAUGUAAUAAAUACCACGACGUUAACAGUCUCAAUAUUUUAUUUUCCUUUCAGAAAAAAAAAACAUUGAGAUAUCAAUCUAGUUUUGAAAUUGUCUCACGAUGAAAAACAAAAGUUAUAAAAGUCCAAUUAUUAUUUUAUCUAAUAAUUCGUCAUUUAUUCAUCGUUAUUCUUAACACUGCAUUAUUACUGUAUGUGUUUUUCAUAUAUUUUCAUCAUUCGAGAAAUUGAAAAAAUACAGUUACUGUUGCAAGUAGAUAGGAUGAUUUUUUAAUUUGAUUACAAACUACCAAUAUAUUCUUGCAACAUAAAUGAUACAUUCUGUUGCUUGUAAUUUGUAAAACAGCAGAGGUUACUCACACCUCCUUGUAACCUGAUCAUAACUAUAAUUUUUGUUCGUGUUGGAUCAGCUACUGUUUUAUAUUUUUUUCCUUUGGUCUUUUGAUUUUGAACACUCCAAGACUUCGUUAUCACCACAUUUCGAUUUUUUCUGACUACUGUGAUUCAAGUAGUUCAAAGCUUAUGUGUACAUCCCGUCUCUGAUAUUUAUAAUCACUUCACCAUUGUGCUGUGAAAAAAGGACUUAAUAUUCAAUUUAUACUUUUUUUUUUAUCUUCCACCAAUAUUUUGAAUUAAAUAUAAAAUAUGUUGGAAUACAUUGAGACCAAUGACACUUUUGGAGUUUGAGUGUAAGUAACCACUGUCUCUUUAUCCAACAUAAUACAAAUAGAUAGGAAGUAAACUUGUACAACGUCAUGAAAGAGGAUACAAGGAGUAAUUGCAGGUUACCGAAUACGGCAGAACAGAUAGCUAUUUCGUAUUAAUUGUUUAGAGUGUAUUUUGUCUAUUAAAUCAAUCCGUUAUUUUAUAAAUCAUGUU